CCACCCACCGUCCUAACCCUAGUCUUAGGCUCAUCGUACAUGUCCUUGAUUACUCUGAUGUAGACUUCUGGCACGCUCUUCGCCUCCAAGUACAUCCAUAGCACCUCCCUUGGCACCUUGUCAUAUGCCUUCUCCAAGUCGAUAAACACCAUGUGCAGGUCCUUCUUCGUAUCCCUGAACUGCUCCACCAGCCUCCUGAC
rnacentral:lncRNA from 1 species